rnacentral:rRNA from 1 species
ACUAUAACUUCGUUAAACCCACCUGAGUAGUACCAGCUUAAGCUUUAAACUCAAAGAAUUUGGCGGCUCUUUACCUCAUUAGAGGAACCUGCCCCGUAAUCGAUGAUCCACGAAUCUUCGUACCUGUUUUCAAAGCUUGUAUACCGUCGUUUAGAGUGAGUUAAAAGACCCGCUCUCAAUUAAGUUAUUAAAUAAUUCAGAUCAAGGUGCAGCCUAUGAACAGGUGGAGGUGGGUUACAUUAAGCAAUAUCGUUGGAUUGCAGACCUAAACUCUGUAUGAAAUUGGAUUUAAAAGUAAAUUAGUCCAAAAUUGGUAGAGCUCUGAAG